rnacentral:rRNA from 1 species
CUCCUACGGGAGGCAGCAGUGGGGAAUAUUGCACAAUGGGCGCAAGCCUGAUGCAGCCAUGCCGCGUGUAUGAAGAAGGCCUUCGGGUUGUAAAGUACUUUCAGCAGUGAGGAAGGUGGGUAUGUUAAUAGCAUAUUCAUUUGACGUUAGCUGCAGAAGAAGCACCGGCUAACUCCGUGCCAGCAGCCGCGGUAAUACGGAGGGUGCGAGCGUUAAUCGGAAUUACUGGGCGUAAAGCGCAUGCAGGUGGUUUGUUAAGUCAGAUGUGAAAGCCCGGGGCUCAACCUCGGAAUUGCAUUUGAAACUGGCAAACUAGAGUACUGUAGAGGGGGUAGAAUUUCAGGUGUAGCGGUGAAAUGCGUAGAGAUCUGAAGGAAUACCGGUGGCGAAGGCGGCCCCCUGGACAGAUACUGACACUCAGAUGCGAAAGCGUGGGGAGCAAACAGGAUUAGAUACCCUGGUG